rnacentral:lncRNA from 1 species
CUACAAGAUAACAAUUGUAUUGAGAAACUAAAGAUGGAACUAAUUGACAUCUAUUGUAGAUUUUAAAUAUUUUAUUCUUUAAGAUGCGAAAAGGAUUGAACAACAGGCAUAGCUAAUAAAAGCUGCCACCAUAAUACAUGUACAUGAUAUAAAUUAAAAAAAUAAAAAAUGUAUUCAAAAUAAUAUUAUAUGAUCCAAGACCUCAGUUUCCGAAGUUAACGAAUAUAUAGUCCCUAGUGUGGUCAAUGUGUUACUUGCAAUUUUUUUAAAACCCUUUUCACAUUUAUUUCUCUAUGUUUUAUGCUCCACAUGGCAAGUAUAAACAAAUUUGGGUCAUGAAUUUCAAAGUAAAGUUACAGUAGUGAUUUGGUUAAGCUGAUAAAAGUUAAAAGUUAGCACUCCAAAAGAUGUCAAAUAAUUUUAAGGCCCUUAACACAAAAUUGUCCAUUUUUUGAGUAAGAGCUGAUGACGUUUUCAAACAUUUUGAUAUAAUUUGUAUCAAAAGUAUUACAAAAAACUGUAAAAAAAAUAUUAUUGAAAAAACGCAGGUGAGAUUCUUUUAUUUUCAUUUGUUUCAAAAUUCACUACAAAAUAACUGUGGUCUCGGACCAUAUAGUGAAAAAACAUGCUAUUUAUGAGCACGCACAAACAACGAUAUAUUUACAGUAUUAAUCAAUAAAAUUUAAUGUAUAUAGAUAUAGGGGCCUUGGCUCUCACCGAACAGCAAGCUAUGAAAGUCCCCGAAAAUUACUAGUGUAAAACCAUUCAACGUGAAAACCAACAGUCAAAUCUAUAUAAAAACAAGAAACGAGAAACACGUAUGAACUACAUAUUAAACAAACGACAACUACUGUACAUCAGAUUCCUGACAUAGGACAGGUGCAAACAUCUGCAGCGGGAUAAAACGUUUUAAUGGUACCAAAUUUAAACCGUCUUCCUUUUCUGAAACAAUAGUUUAACAUCACAACAUAGAAAGAAACUAUAAAAAAAUAAUUGAAAGGCUUAACUCAAUACAAAAA